UAGGGAAUCUUCGGCAAUGGGGGGAACCCUGACCGAGCAACGCCGCGUGAGUGAAGAAGGUUUUCGGAUCGUAAAGCUCUGUUGUUAGAGAAGAACAGCGCAUAGAGUAACUGUUAUGCGUGUGACGGUAUCUAACCAGAAAGCCACGGCUAACUACGUGCCAGCAGCCGCGGUAAUACGUAGGUGGCAAGCGUUGUCCGGAUUUAUUGGGCGUAAAGCGAGCGCAGGCGGUCAAUUAAGUCUGAUGUGAAAGCCCCCGGCUCAACCGGGGAGGGUCAUUGGAAACUGGUUGACUUGAGUGCAGAAGAGGAGAGUGGAAUUCCAUGUGUAGCGGUGAAAUGCGUAGAUAUAUGGAGGAACACCAGUGGCGAAGGCGACUCUCUGGUCUGUAACUGACGCGGAGGCUCGAAAGCGUGGGUAGCAAACAGG
rnacentral:rRNA from 1 species